CACUUUGACUACCAAGAUUAACCCAAAAAAAUUACGUCUAAUCAUUCUGGAGGGGAAACGAAAAGAAAUGAAGCAUUUGCAUGGUAAUCGAGUGACUUUUAAGAAAUAGAGGAGUUCACAAAGAGAACUACACGCAGUUGGUUUCUUCAGGUUCAGAUAUGGAAAAUCUUUUGCAAUGUGUCUUGCCUACGGUUUUUCAUAUAAAU